ACUGUGGGAGGAAUGUAAACAAAUCCAGUGCCCCCACAGCAGUUGAAGAGAAAGGAUUAAACACUGAUAAGCAGAGUGUUGUUACAGUCAAAAACAAAAGAAACUAGUUAAUAUAUUAAGUUAGUGCGGAUACAAAUUAUUUAUUUAAAUAUGAUUUUUGGGUUUCAGAUCAAUAUGGAAAAUUUAUUCAUGCUCAGUGAGAUUUGUUCAGUUAUAAAGGAGAAGCAAGGAACCUAUGAGUGCAGACAAUUCAGCACAAAUAAAGUCCUCUAAACAGGCACUUAUAUAUGUAUGUGGAUUUAUUGCCAAAAAACUAAGCACAAAAGUUUCCGACCUUGUCAGAGGCAGUGAGGAUAAAACAAACUAGGAUUGGAUAGACUUAAAAUCAAGAGAAUCCCUGGUUUAUCCAUCCAAAGAUCUUUUGGAUUAUAGAGGUCGAGAUCCAAUCGAAAAAAAACAAUUUUAGCUAUUGCUGCAAUAAGCAAUCGAUGGCCUCGGGAAGUUAUUAAACUUUUUGUAAAUGUUAAAUUUUUCAGUAGACUAUCGCCCCCUCCUCCUUCUAUUCAAUUCUCCUUGCGUCUAAUAAAGUUUAUCAGAAGAAUA